AAAUCCCUGGCGGUUGGAGGAGAACGUUUAAAGUUGUGGUGUCAAAAGGACCUGAAACCAACCCCAGCUCAUCCCUGCCCAGUUCAGAGGAAAACUCGUGGCUGCUGGGAGGGAGAAUAAAAGGCAGCCCUGAAGGCGAGGAAGAGCUGAUGCUCAGACAAGGAUUAGCUGGCUCCUAGCUUGCACGGUCACCACGCUGCCUGACAUCCCCUGCGUUUCUUCCCAUCAGAGUGAGAAGGUGAACACAGCCUGGGAUGCAGAGCUGCUGGUGACUCAAAAGGAGAGGCUGAAAUCAGCUGAGAGCUGGUUGCUGUCCAAAAAGCCCAGGACAAGCUGUUAGAACAGACAUACCAGGGAUGGGAAUGGCUGUGUGUCCCAGCAGCACGGCUCUCUGCAGCCCCUGGGCAGACGUCUGUGGGACGAGCCGUGCUCCUGACCCAGCCAUGCAGGAGGAGGGCCUGUGCGUGGCCACUGGCCCCCACGGCUGGCCAGGGAGAGAUGAGGCUGAUGCUGGGGUGCCUGAUUCCAUGCGGGUGCUGGGAGUAGCCCGUGGGUACCUCCUGCAGCCCAGAGUUUAUGUUUAGGAGCAAACUUGGAUCACGGAACGAGGAUGGCAUUAGAAAGGCUCUGGUCGAGCCCCUGGCACCUUGGGAGUCCCUGGCUCCUCCAGAAGCCUGGACAACAUUGCAGUGCUAGUGGGUGAACCUCCUGCAGAGCAGCUGCCCAGCGGUCCCUGAUGGGGCUGGAUCACAGCCAGGGCAGAGGGAGGCAGCACCAGCUGCCUUGGACCCCAUCUCCCCAGUCCCUGGCCAUCAUGCCCUGCUGUGGGGGUGCCAUUACACAGCUCCCCCUCACCCCAGGAACUGCCGGGCCCCUUGGCCGUGGCUGUCAGGGCUCAGGGACUGUUCCCCAGCCUUGCCCAUCGUUGUCCUGAGCUCCUGGGGAUCCCCAGCUCUGUCAUCCCAUGGUCUUGUUCCCAGGCCUUCAUGUCCCCACUCCCAGGGCCUCCCCAGACCUUUUGGCCAUCGUGGCUCUAUUCUGGGUACCUCUGCUGUUCAGACCCCUCCUUGUCCAGGGAUCCUCCCCAGUCCCCUUGACCACCACCAUCCUGGGGACCUCCGGACUGCUCCACCUUUAUGGGGACUCCGAGCCCCCUUGGGCAUGGCCCCAUACCCGGGGGGUCUCCCCAGGGACCCCCUGCACAUCCUCCCCACCCCAGAGCCCCUCGGCACCCGCAGCCACCUCGGCCCCGCUCCGGGUCCCCCCCAGCUCCCCGCAGGCCGCUGUGCACUGCCCCCCACCCCCGCAGCUCUCCAUCUCCCCUUUCGCUCCCCCCGUUCCCGGCCCGGACCCAUUGUCCACCCGUUCCCGGCCCCAUCCCCAUCCCCGUCCCCUCCUCUCCGGCCCCGCUAAGGGGAGGAACCGGCCGGCCGGGGCCGUGCCCAGCCGCGCCCCUGCGCCGCCCCGUGCGCUCCGGCUCCGCCACCGGCACCGGCACCGGCUCCGCUCGCUCCCCACGCCGGGGCCGCCGGCCCGGCAUGAAGGUGCUCCGGCACAAGAUCGAGCUGCUGACAGGGCUGCUGCUGCAGGAGAUGACCAUGGCAGGGCUGCACGAGCUGCGCUUUACGGAGGAGAAGCCACUGCUGCGGGGCCAGGACACCGAGCUGGAGAACUCAGAAGUCUUCCUCUCUGCCGUGGACACAGACUGGAAGGUAGGACCGGCUGCAGGGAGGGGACAGGAGGUGCCUCAUGCCCCUGGGCUUGGGGACCCACAGGCCGGUGUGGUGGGUCAGUGCGGGGCACUGAGUGGGCCCUGGGGAUGGGUGGUGUUGGCUGCCCCGGCCCCAGCUUGCAGGUGGUGGCCGCUUGGUGUCCGUGCAUGGGGGCUGCGUGCCACGGCCCCUGUAGGGAGGGGACACGGCCACGGCUUUGCAGUCUGCCCGGCAGAGCCCCUGGGGAUGCUGGCUGCUGCCCUCAGCGCUGGCACUCAGAUGUGUCUGGUGGGCACUUGGCAACACUCCAGGGACAAAAGCUUUUUGAAAGAAGCAAAACCGAGCUGCUUCUCCAGCCCCUCUGCCAUUGCCAUGGCAAUGGUUCCCUGGGCGAUGCCAGCUCCCCAGUUGCAUGA
rnacentral:lncRNA from 1 species